UACAGAGGUCCCGAGCGUUGUUCGGAUUCACUGGGCGUAAAGAGCUCGUAGGCGGUGUGUCGCGUCGGCCGUGAAAACCUGCAGCUUAACUGUGGCGUGCGGUCGAUACGGGCAUCACUGGAGUUCGGCAGGGGAGACUGGAAUUCCUGGUGUAGCGGUGAAAUGCGCAGAUAUCAGGAGGAACACCGGUGGCGAAGGCGGGUCUCUGGGCCGAUACUGACGCUGAGGAGCGAAAGCGUGGGGAGCGAACAGG
rnacentral:rRNA from 1 species